CCCGCAGCCCUGCCCGCUCCCCCUCACGCUCCGCGGCUCCCGGGCUCCCGCAGCCCUGCCCGAGCACGGGCGGGCGGCAGCAACGGGACAUUAUGAGGGAAGCAUGAGGGAACCGACUUAGGGGGAAGUAGGGCAGUGCUGUGGGGUGGGGUUUUGUGGAGGGUCUGGAGCAUCUCCCUGAUGAGAGAGUGCGGCAGCUGGGCCUGGUUAGUCUAGAGAAGACCGAGAGUCCCCUCUCGUUAAUAAUGAACCCCUCAAAGGUGGCAGAGGACGGGGCCAGACUGUCCGGUGAUGCCCAGCGACAGGACGAGGAGCAAUAGCCAUGAACUAAAACACAAGAAGUUCCACCCCAACACGAGGAAGAAGUUGGCAUGAGGGAGAUGUUGGAAAAUCCUUCUGACUCCAGUGCUUGUUGGCAGAGCUUCUGAUGGAUAUUCUUAUCUUUGAAUAUAGUUCUAGAAAGCCUGAAUAAAAAAUAUGGAAUCUGCUUCAUGUGCUGCAAGUAAGAGAAAGAUGUUGUUUGCGUCUUUUCCUCAAAGGUAAGAUACUUGUCAGAAAACAAAAAAAAUGUUUGUAAAAUUUAUGUGGUAACAAAGAGGAAGUCCAGUACGGAUGGAAUUGAAAAUUUGAGCUAACUCAUCAAUGAGAAAUUAAG